rnacentral:rRNA from 1 species
GACGAACGCUGGCGGCGUGCUUAACACAUGCAAGUCGAACGAUGAACCGGUUUCGGCCGGGGAUUAGUGGCGAACGGGCGAGUAACACGUGGGCAAUCUGCCCUGCACUCUGGGAUAAGCCCGGGAAACUGGGUCUAAUACCGGAUACGACACUCCGAGGCAUCUUGGGGUGUGGAAAGUUCCGGCGGUGCAGGAUGAGCCCGCGGCCUAUCAGCUUGUUGGUGGGGUAAUGGCCUACCAAGGCGACGACGGGUAGCCGGCCUGAGAGGGUGACCGGCCACACUGGGACUGAGACACGGCCCAGACUCCUACGGGAGGCAGCAGUGGGGAAUAUUGCACAAUGGGCGAAAGCCUGACGCAGCGACGCCGCGUGAGGGAUGACGGCCUUCGGGUUGUAAACCUCUUUCAGCAGGGAAGAAGCGAAAGUGACGGUACCUGCAGAAGAAGCACCGGCUAACUACGUG